CCUCUUAUGUCACAUGACAUGAUUAUGUUUUUGUUUCUAUCGUGGAACAUGAGUGAAUCUUAAUCGGACACAUCACACAUAGGAUUCUACAUUGUUACCUUCUCUGUCCUCUUAAGAAAUUGGAGUAAUUGCCUGUGAGUACAUUUAAGAAGUAAUAAGGAGUCAGGACAGGCCUAACACUUUUGGUCUUUGGAGCUUGUAUGUUAGUUGGGGUGGCAUAAUUUGUGACUUUGAAUGGCAGAUAAGACUUAAUAGGUGUGACUUGAGGAAAGUAUGGUAAGUGAUAACGAACUUGUACAUAAAAAAAACAGAUGUGACUUCUUUAAUGAGUGUUAGAACCGUAGAAGCAAGCUUUGUAAGCUGUAAGUAGGUGAUGGAUCCAGCUCCACCUCCUCCUCCAAGCACACCAUUGCUCGAUCCAGGUCCCCCCGGCGGAGGAUUCUUGGAUUUAUGCUUAUGGUGUCUGUGCUGCUGUGGUCUGAUUAACUGCUGUUUCCCUCCCCUCUUCAAACCAGGACCUCCUCCACCUAUCUAGUGGAUAAGAGCCCGUUUGGAUACAGCCUAAAAGCACUUAUUAGAUAAACUCCAAUCUCCAAUAAGUGUUCUUUGGUUCGCAUCCAAACUUGUUCUUAAUGUACCUUUUUAAGCAGCAAUGUUGUUACUUUUUGUAGCUACAGCUCCAAUAAUUCAUGUAGUGUUAAGACAUUGUUUGAGUUUUGUAACUAAAUAAAAUUAUUGGUAAAAUGAUUUGGUCGCUGUUGUUGUUUGUAGCUGUAAGCUUGUAAAUUGUGACAAAUUUGUGGCUUUGAUUUUCUA